CGCGGGAUUGGGGACGGGGCGCAGCAGUCGCGAAAACUUUACAAUGCGGGAAACCGUGAUAAGGGGACACCGAGUGCCAGCAUCAUAUGCUGGCUGUCCAGGUGUGUAAAAUACACCUGUUAGCAAGGGCCGGGCAAGACCGGUGCCAGCCGCCGCGGUAACACCGGCGGCCCGAGUGGUGAUCGUGAUUAUUGGGUCUAAAGGGUCCGUAGCCGGUUUGGUCAGUCCUCCGGGAAAUCUGAUAGCUCAACUAUUAGGCUUUCGGGGGAUACUGCCAGACUUGGAACCGGGAGAGGUAAGAGGUACUACAGGGGUAGGAGUGAAAUCUUGUAAUCCCUGUGGGACCACCUGUGGCGAAGGCGUCUUACCAGAACGGGUUCGACGGUGAGGGACGAAAGCUGGGGGCACGAACCGGAUUAGAUACCCGGGUAGUCCCAGCCGUAAACGAUGCUCGCUAGGUGUCAGGCAUGGCGCGACCGUGUCUGGUGCCGCAGGGAAGCCGUGAAGCGAGCCACCUGGGAAGUACGGCCCGCAAGGCUGAAACUUAAAGGAAUUGGCGGGGGAGCACAACAACGGGUGGAGCCUGCGGUUUAAUUGGACUCAACGCCGGACAACUCACCGGGGGCGACAGCAAUAUGUAGGCCAAGCUGAAGACUUUGCCUGAAUCGCUGAGAGGAGGUGCAUGGCCGUCGCCAGUUCGUACUGUGAAGCAUCCUGUUAAGUCAGGCAACGAGCGAGACCCGUGCCCACUGUUACCAGCAUGUCCUCCGGGACGAUGGGUACUCUGUGGGGACCGCCUAUGUUAAAUAGGAGGAAGGUGCGGGCCACGGUAGGUCAGUAUGCCCCGAAUCUCCCGGGCUACACGCGGGCUACAAUGGAUGGGACAAUGGGCCCCUCCCCCGAAAGGGGCUGGUAAUCUCACAAACCCAUUCGUAGUUCGGAUCGAGGGCUGUAACUCGCCCUCGUGAAGCUGGAAUCCGUAGUAAUCGCGUUUCAAUAUAGCGCGGUGAAUACGUCCCUGCUCCUUGCACGAAUUCAAUCACUAGU
rnacentral:rRNA from 1 species